rnacentral:rRNA from 1 species
ACAGAGGUCCCGAGCGUUGUUCGGAUUUAUUGGGCGUAAAGGGUGCGUAGGCGGCGGAGUAAGUUGGGUGUGAAAUCCCGGGGCUUAACCUCGGAAUUGCAUUCAAUACUGCUUCGCUCGAGUACUGGAGAGGAGGCUGGAAUUUACGGUGUAGCAGUGAAAUGCGUAGAUAUCGUAAGGAAGGCCGGUGGCGAAGGCGGCAUCCUGGACCAACACUGACACUGAAUCGCGAAAGCUAGGGGAGCAAACGGGA